GGCAGCUGUGGUGCAUUGUAGUUGCAUUGCAUGUUCUGGUGGUACCCAUGCAAUGUUUCCACAGUGCAUCACAGAGGCCUG
ensembl:miRNA microRNA 33a